ensembl:rRNA 5S_rRNA 5S ribosomal RNA
GUCUAUGGCCAUACCACCCUGAACGCGCCCAAUCUCGUCUGAUCUCAGAAGCUAAGCAGGGUCGGGCCUGGUUAGUACUUGGAUGGGAGAAUUAGAGAGCAACAGGACAGAAACU